rnacentral:lncRNA from 1 species
CUUANNNUCCGACAGGGUACAAAUAUCUAAAUUUGAUAUUUUUAGAUACUCCUACUGGUGCAACACCAAGUGCAGCUCCUGUACAGAAUACUUCAUUUGCACUAAUCACAUGUAAGACUAUAAUGCAAGUCAAACAAAUUCAGACACAAAUUAUAAUUCAAUGUAUUAACUAUACCCAAUACAUUAUCCCUUCUCUUUUGUUAAAAUGUAUGGAAGUAAGACAAUAAUUUAGGUUAAUAGACGGUAAAGUAUGUUACAAUCAAGAAUUUAAAGAGAAUUUAAAAAAAAUAUUUCUUUUAAUAAAUUGUAAUGCACGGAUGUGUUAAUUUCUACUUUUUCUAUUCUAAUAAUUUGUAUUACGCACAUGUGCUAAAACAUUUUUUACUUUUGCAUUUUCCAGACCAGCUUGUUGUCUCGGUCUCAAGGCAAAUACGCUCUGCUUCCUAAGAGCACGACAAGUCAACAACUAUUAGGGACCUAAUAUAGUUGAUAGAAUUGCAGCAACAAGAAGAAAGUUAAUCAAUUGUAUAGAUUUUGAAUCAAACCGAAUAGAUUUUGUUCAAUUUUACUUUAGUCUUUAAACAAUUUUUUUUUAAUGUUAAAUCAAAAAUGUAUAAGCUCCUUGGGCCCGGGCACCGCCCGGGCUACCGCCAACUAGUUUAACUUAUGCAUGCGGAUAGCCUAAAGAUUUUUACACUGUCUAUAUAUUUUAACAUGUU